GGCCUUGAUUCCAUCUUUGGUCUCUGCCCACGGACUAGAAAGAAAGAGGAAGCCAAAUAUGAAAGAGGGAGGAAAGGCUGCUAAUGGGAGACAGAGAAGAGGUGGGGUCGCCUGUGCUGCUAAUAACAGUAAUUCACAUUAGUCCAUGCUCUCCCUGACACCUCUGGGCUGAGUGCAUUUGCUUAUACAAUCUCAUUUUAGAGACAAGGAAACCAAGGCUUGGAGAGAUUAAGGAACUUGUCCGAACUUACUCAACCAGUAUAUGUAGGAGGCCUGACAACCUGCCCUGCAUCUCCAUUUCACAACCCGCAGCUCAGGGUGACUGUUCCUGGGAACGGAAGCGGAGUGGUUUCUCUCCCAGUGCCUUCUGAAGUAAACGGAAUUCUUCCUCCUCCUCCUCCUCCUCCCCUUCUCCUCUCCUCCUCCCUCCCCUCCUCCUCCCUCCUCCUCCUCCUCCUCCCCCUCCUCUUCCUCCCUCCCCUCCUCCUCCUCCUCUGCCCCCUCCUCCUCCUCCUCCCCUCCUCCUCCUCCUCCUCCUCUUCUAGGCCUGAAGCUUUUCUCUCUUCUCCUGUCUCCUUUACUCACUUAACCUGAGUUUGUUGUUUUCAAAGUUUAGAGUCCCCAGAAUGUUCUCAGUAAGUCCAGACUCCAGUGGGACCCUGGCAUCACUCAAAGACAGCAGCAUCUUUGUCUUUGAAGGUGAACUCCAGUCAGUUUAGCUGUUCACAUAAAUGUUGCAUACUGGGACCCGUUUUCAAACACCCACCAGGCUCCUGGACCUUCUCAACAGCAAAGCAGUCAGAUCUGCUGCCUAGACUGGAGACUGCUCACACCUGUGGUGCCAGGACUGUGAGCAGUCAGGCUGCAUGGCAGGGGGACAGCCUGUGCCAACAAGCAAGGCAGGACCCUGGAACAAAAAGAGGACAUGGAGAACAACAGCUCGGAUUUACCUCGUCUCGUCCAGAGAGGAGCAGUGUCCUGUUGGUUUCUUAGUUUUGGACAAAUGGAUCGAAAUAAGGUAUGUAUGUGCUUUGUGCCCUUGAAGGCCUGAAGAGGACAUUAGAUCCCUUGAUUCUGGAGUUACAGUAGAUGGCUGUGAACGUCCAUGUGGCUGCUGAAAAUCCAACCUGGGUUCUCUGCAAGGGCAGCAGAGCUCUUAGCACUGAACCAUCUCUCCAGCCCCUUUUGGGGUAAAAUUUAAAUGAUAUCAAAAUAAAAGGAAUAAGAAAUUUCAA